GUUUGAAGUACAUUAUAGGAAAGGGCAUGACUGACCAAAUUUGUCAAAUAGGCAUAUUAAUCUCAGUUGGUGAACAGAAAUAAUGUUCAAGCAUAUUUUAGUCGAGAUGGUGAUGAAUGUAGUGUAAACCAUUUUGAGAAGGGUUUUUGGUGUUUCACUUGCUUGUGAAACCGGUUAUUCAACAUGGAAGUUCAUCCUCCAGUUAGAUCCUACGUUAUUCUAUCUCUUGAAUAUUACUAUCUAUUUCGGCAAAUAUCCUUCAGUUAUAUUUUCUUUGUUCAUUAUAAAUCUCAUUUUGGUAUUUCUCUUUUGUAAGGCUCAACUAAUGGCACAAUUCGCUCAAACCUUUUGGCACUCGCUGCUUCAAGCGUAUAACUUGAAUUUUCAUUUAGGAUUGUGAAAUACAUUAUAAUACAAGCUAUUCAAGUUUAUUAUGUUUAUUUUGUCUCGUUUUGUAUUCUCAUGGAGUCGAUCCCAUCAUAUGUAAAUGAUUUGAGAGGAUUUUUUUUUUUUUUUUCAUCAUCGAUGUGGUGUCCAAUACUUAAAAUUGAUCCGGAGGUCACUCAUAAUUUCUUUAUUUCUUUCUUAUGUUGCUUACAAUUGUUUAUUCUGUCUUAUGUUGCUUACAAUCGUUUAUUCUGUAAAGUUGAUUUGACUUUGUUUCUCAAAUAUUUGCAGAUGACAAUCAAUUAUAUGAGUAGCAAAGAGAAUAACAUACUUAUGGAGAGAGAUGGUUUUUCAUCGCCAAUGGUGGGUUGAUCCUCUUCAGGCCUGAUCAUAGUUGCCCACUCCAGUUUGCAAGAGCUACAGUGUUUCUUAGUAAAUUAUACAAAGAAUAUCUUGGUAUUAUUAGGAGUUAUGGGGGGAGUUGUGGUUCUCAGUCAUUUUCCAUGACGUGUCAUUUGUUGAUAAUGUGGGUUUAAAGCUCAUCAUGUUGUGUGCAUGAUAUCCAAUUUUUCCAUCACAUUCGCCACCACAUUUUCUUCUUAUAUGCCAAAACUUAGGCCCAUUCAAUUCUUAGAAUUCAACUACAUUAAUUAUUUCGGUGGUUUAAUCCAAACUGUCCAAAAUUUGUUUCUUGAUUUAACUUUGGUUUACACUUUAGUUUGAAUGUAAUCGUUAUCUGAAC